AUGGGAGAGGUUCGAGAACUCCCUCUAUAAAAAACUAUAAAACG
rfam:Paenibacillus macerans strain 8244 genomic scaffold scaffold1, whole genome shotgun sequence.